rnacentral:rRNA from 1 species
UAAACUCCCAGCCCUAACAGUAUGAUAGAGCGUAUAUUUAAGUUGUUGCAGUUAAAAAGCUCGUAGUUGGAUCUCGGGGCGGGGCGAGCGGUCCGCCUCUUCGGUGUGCACUGGUUGCUCCGCCCUUUCUGUCGGGGACGCGCUCCUGUCCUUAACUGGUCGGGACGCGGAUUCGGCGAUGUUACUUUGAAAAAAUUAGAGUGCUCAAAGCAAGCCUAUGCUCUGAAUACAUUAGCAUGGAAUAACGUGAUAGGACUCUGGUCCUAUUGUGUUGGUCUUCGGGACCGGAGUAAUGAUUAAUAGGGACAGUUGGGGGCAUUCGUAUUUCAUUGUCAGAGGUGAAAUUCUUGGAUUUAUGAAAGACGAACUACUGCGAAAGCAUUUGCCAAGGAUGUUUUCAUUAAUCAAGAACGAAAGUUGGGGGCUCGAAGACGAUCAGAUACCGUCCUAGUCUCAACCAUAAACGAUGCCGACUAGGGAUUGGCGGAUGUUAUAUUGAUGACUCCGCCAGCACCUUAUGGGAAACCAAAGGUUUGGGUUCACACUCUGUCGUCUCGUAAUCAACAAACGAUCACGAUUCUCCAUCAGUGAAGAGGAUUAUAGUUCGUACUACCUGCUCAUGCACUGAGGAUAUUCAAUUCUCCACUUCCCGAAUUAGCAAAAUUCGUUGAUAUACGUGUCCGAAUUCAGCUCUACCGUCCCCAACUGCCGUCUAAUAACCCCAUUUAAAUGGCCUUCUCUCCCUUUCACCCCCCCCACACACACAACUCACGGGACUAAAUGAUGCCUAAAAAUUUGUUCUAAAUAAGUCGUGUCUGCUAGAAAAUUCUUUUAUGAUACCUUACCGGCGGCGUCUACGCGUGGAGAGUUUCUCCUGAGGCAUGAUAGCCUACUUGGGCGCCCCCGCCCUCUCCUUCCUUAGUUUGUUCACGAUACUGACUUUACUUGCUCUGGGCCGCCAGUAUUCGGCUGCGGGCCGCAAGGGAACCACAGAUAGAAUACAAUGUAUGUAGUGAAAGGCCCUCCCUC